rnacentral:rRNA from 1 species
UACAGAGGUGGCAAGCGUUGUUCGGAAUUACUGGGCGUAAAGGGCGCGUAGGCGGUCUUGUAAGUCUCGUGUGAAAUCCCUCGGCUUAACUGAGGAACUGCACGGGAUACUGCAUGACUUGAGGUCGGGAGAGGGAAGCGGAAUUCCGGGUGUAGCGGUGAAAUGCGUAGAUAUCCGGAGGAACACCGGUGGCGAAGGCGGCCUGCUGGGCUAUGGCUGACACUGAGGCGCGACAGCGUGGGGAGCAAACAGG